GGGGGGGGGGGGGGGGGGGGGGGGGGGGGGGGGGGGGGGGGGGGGGGGGGGGGGGGGGGGGGGGGGGGGGGGCUCGGGCCUGGGGCGCCGCACCCGGCCUCGGCCCCGCCGGCGAUCCGCGGGCAGCGGCUGAGCGCGGCAGAGGCCGGCGGCGGUCGGAGUGUCGCUCCACCAGGCGGGGCGGCGGCGGCGUGGGCGGGAGCGGCGAAGGACCCUCGGAGCGCGGGUUAAAGCCUCGAUUCCCCCAUCACCGGGGCGAAGCCCAAUGCCUGGUUUUAUAUGAGCAGCCAUCUUGUAUUUAUUCCCUUCCUCCAUGAGAGCCGCUUCCUGAUUGGCAAGCGCGCCCAGCCGCAGCCAAUGGCGGGAGCGCUUCUAAGAGCAAGGAGGGCGGGAGCGCGCAGCGCCCGCACUGAGCAGGAUAGAUCGGGCCGCAGCCAAUGGCGGGAGCGCUUCUAAGAGCAAGGAGGGCGGGAGCGCGCAGCGCCCGCACUGAGCAGGAUCGGCCAUGGAGCCCGCCGGGCCCGCUGGGGGGGCGCCGGCCUCUGCCGGUCCAGCCUAUACUUCAGCCUCUCAUAAAGUAUGCCUGGGAUACCACUUUCCUGCAUGUCUCUUCACCUGUCCUUUGGUGAGAGCACUGUGGCAACUGGAAACUGGCAUUAGAGUCGCCCCAAACACUGGCAGUGUGAGUCAGCCUGAGGCCUCUGAGCACAGAGUGUGGCCAGAGCAAACCACAGACCUGUUUUUCAGUGAACAAAGAAUCAAGUUGCUUCCUCACCUGCUUCCUUUUUGUCAUCUGUUUUUCGGGAAGAAAGGGAGCUGCUGCUUUGGUAAUUGCUGUCCACUGGAACCAGUAAGGCACAGCCUGCUGACAACUGGAGCGAAUAAGAGUCAGCCUGGAGAGGAAACAAGCUCUAGUGGUUGGUGA
rnacentral:lncRNA from 1 species